rnacentral:rRNA from 1 species
UACCAGCACCCCGAGUGGUCGGGACGAUUAUUGGGCCUAAAGCAUCCGUAGCCGGUCAUGCAAGUCCUCCGUUAAAUCCACCCGCUCAACGGUUGGGCCGUGGGGGGAUACUACAGGGCUAGGAGGCGGGAGAGGCAAGCGGUACUCGAUGGGUAGGGGUAAAAUCCACUGAUCCAUUGAAGACCACCAGUGGCGAAGGCGGCUUGCCAGAACGCGCUCGACGGUGAGGGAUGAAAGCUGGGGGGAGCAAACCGG